CGCAGGUUAAGAUCCUCCCUGUUAUUUCCCAAGGUAACUGGCAGAAGCAGAAUUGAUGGCUUCCCUUUCCAAAGCUGUAUCAGUCUGUCCUCCUUUGUCACAGUAAUUUAACUUUUACCACAGCAGGGCCUUCAUCAUGCAGGCUAAAGAUACCCUUUGUUGGGGACGAGGGCACGACUGUGCUUCUGUGGUGGCUCCUUUCCCAGAAGGAAUGAUUAUGCCCUCAGGAAUUGCCACACAUGUCACAAUGC